GGAGCAGCCGCGCCUAAGCACGGGAGGGGUUCGGGAUGCGAAGUCCAGAGAAUUCAGCGGGCUGGCAGCCUGGCCACGGCCGUGCCCGGCCAGGGCCGAGCUCCGAGGACGCUCGCCGCCGCGCUGGCUGCGCUUGGAAUGAGCCCGGUGAGGGCGAACUGGCUCGGCGCUUCCUUGGUAAAGCUUGUAGUUCGUCUCGCAGUUCUUGAGUGGCAGAAAUAAACUCUAUUUCUCUAUAAGGAAAGAUAUUAUCGGAGGAGGUAAUGGAAUGCUUUGAAUUUACCCCAAGUUCUGAAGCUGUGAACAUUUGUUUUCUUUCACAGUGCCCUCCUAAUCCGCUCCCAAAGUUGCUGCUGUUGGGGCGGCUGGAAUUUCCUCGUGUAACUGAUAUAAAAGAAUACACCAACAUUAAGGACAACACAGUCUCAGUUAAGAAGCCAGUCUUCAGCGAACCAGAAACCUUCAGCCUGGUACAAACAGCCAGAAAUUCAAAAGAGCAGAAGUUCAACAGUUCCCUCAACUGAAGGGACCCACUACAGAGCUACAGCAGAACAAUGAAGAAAUCUUUCAGUACUGGCCUGAAAAAACAGAACUGCUCAUUUUUAAUCAGUGGUCACACUGAACACUGAGAAGACUCACAGGUACAAGUGUCUGUGAGAGACCUGCAAUUUUUAACAGCAGAAAUCUUGACUGGCAACCUAGUUUAGUUAAAGGCACAACUAUGAUUAAUAACAGACAAAAAUCUGCUUAAA